rnacentral:rRNA from 1 species
UACGUAGGGGGCGAGCGUUGUCCGGAAUUAUUGGGCGUAAAGAGCUCGUAGGCGGUCUGUUACGUCUGCUGUGAAAACCCGGGGCUUAACCCCGGGCUUGCAGUGGAUACGGGCAGACUAGAGGCAGGUAGGGGAGAAUGGAAUUCCCGGUGUAGCGGUGAAAUGCGCAGAUAUCGGGAGGAACACCGGUGGCGAAGGCGGUUCUCUGGGCCUGACCUGACGCUGAGGAGCGAAAGCGUGGGGAGCGAACAGG